rnacentral:rRNA from 1 species
GACGGAGGAUGCAAGUGUUAUCCGGAAUCACUGGGCGUAAAGCGUCUGUAGGUGGUUUAAUAAGUCAACUGUUAAAUCUUGAGGCUCAACUUCAAAAUCGCAGUCGAAACUAUUAGACUAGAGUAUAGUAGGGGUAAAGGGAAUUUCCAGUGGAGCGGUGAAAUGCGUAGAGAUUGGAAAGAACACCAAUGGCGAAAGCACUUUACCGGUGCUAUCACUGACACUGAGAGACGAAAGCUAGGGUAGCAAAUGGG